ensembl:misc_RNA Metazoa_SRP Metazoan signal recognition particle RNA
GCCGGGUGCGGUGGCUCACACCUGUAAUCCCAGCACUUUGGGAGGCUGAGGUGGGCGGAUCACCUGAGGUCAGGAGUUUGAGACCAGCCUGGCCAACAUGGUGAAAUCCCAUCUCUA